GACAGAGGCCCCGAGCGUUAGGCGGAAUCACUGGGCUUAAAGCGUGUGUAGGCGGACGCCUAAGUGUCUUGUGAAAUCCCACGGCUCACCCGUGGAACCGCUGUGCAUACUGGGCGUCUUGGGCAGUUCAGGGGCGACUGGAACAAGCGGUGGAGCGGUGAAAUGCGUAGAUAUCGCUUGGAACGCCGAAGGUGAAAACAGGUCGCUGGGGACGAGCCGACGCUGAGACACGAAAGCCAGGGGAGCAAACGGG
rnacentral:rRNA from 1 species